rnacentral:rRNA from 1 species
CCUACGGGAGGCAGCAGUGGGGGAUAUUGCACAAUGGGGGGAACCCUGAUGCAGCGACGCCGCGUGGGUGAAGAAGCGCCUCGGCGCGUAAAGCCCUGUCAGCAGGGAAGAAAAUGUCGGUACCUGACGAAGAAGCCCCGGCUAACUACGUGCCAGAAGCCGCGGUAAUACGUAGGGGGCAAGCGUUAUCCGGAUUUACUGGGUGUAAAGGGGGCGCAGACGGCGCGGCAAGCGAGGAGUGAAAGCCCGGGGCCCAACCCCGGGACUGCGCUUGGAACUGCGUGGCUGGAGUGCAGGAGGGGCAGGCGGAAUGCCUGGUGUAGCGGUGAAAUGCGUAGAUAUCAGGAGGAACACCGGUGGCGAAGGCGGCCUGCUGGACUGCAACUGACGUUGAGGCCCGAAAGCGUGGGGAGCAAACAGGAUUAGAUACCCGGGUAGUC